UGAAUCCGUUUAAAUUUUAAUGGUCAAAAGAAAUCUUCCAAACGCAAGAACCAAGAUCGUUUAAGUUGGAGAUUCCGUUGCCCUUCUCAUCCACAUAAAAUAAUGUACAGGUGCGCGUGGCUUUUGUCUGUGAUGCUGGCGGCUUUAAGCACCGGCGACAUCGCUGAUUUCGCGCGCACGGAAACGCCGGUAACGCCAGAGAAGCAAUCAAAACACACACGAGUCCAGACUCCGCGAAUCAACCGAGAACAGGUGCUCUGUGGCAGUGAUAAGGAUUGUCCCAACAGAAGUUUCUGCCCAACACAUGACUUCAGGCAUGACAACAGUCUCGGCCCCUCUCGCUCUAGCUGCGCGCCCUGCAAGAGGAGAGGGAGACGUUGUCAUAGAGAUCAAAUGUGCUGUCUCGGCAACCAGUGUCGCAAUUAUGUCUGCCAUCCAGUCGUCCACAGGCAUAGCGUCUUGUACUCCCGUCUGCCAUAUGCACGCAGUGUCACUCUCUCAGUGAAAAAGAAAA